AUGAUGUUUUAUUGCACUAACUACAUUGAGUUUGUUGCCUUUAUGCACAUUCAUAUGUGUGGCCUUCGUCUCUGUAGCAUUCUCUCUAGCGAGAUUCUCUGUUCACCCCUUGUUCCUCUUGUGGCUCCUAGUUCACCGACGCCAUCGGUUCUUGCCUCGGAUGCUUCCCAGGAUGAUAAGGAUGCCACCAAGGUUGUUGAUGAUGUUGCAUUGCUGCUUAUGAGUAUCAGGCCUCGGACUAACAGGUGGCCCUUGAGAUGUAUCGUGAUGAGCUGUCUAUCUACACUAAGUAGUUUGACGAUGAUGAUCUUGUUGUGGCUUUUCUUUGUUCCAAUGUUCUACCUCAAGUUACCUCUGAGUUUAUGGGUCUCACUACUGUCUUCGAGAUGUAGAUACAUCUUCGACAGUGCUAUCAGCCCUUUGGUGAUGCCCUAUAAAUAUUUGUGGUCCGCCAGAACCAUGCUCUCCAGCAGGGUGACUCAAUUCUGA
rnacentral:rRNA from 1 species